rnacentral:rRNA from 1 species
GGAAGUAAAAAUUAGUAACAAGGUCUCGGUAGGUGAACCUGCGGAGGGAUCAUUACAAGUGACCCCGGUUUUACCACCGGGAUGUUCAUAACCCUUUGUUGUCUGAAAGUGUUGCCUCCGGGGCGACCCUGCAUUAAGGCGGGGGCUCCGGGUGGACACUUCAAUCUCUGGCGUAACUUUGCAGUAGGAGUAAAUUAAUUAAUAAAUUAAAACUUUUAACAACGGAUCUAUUGGUUGUGGCAUCGAAGAAGAACGCAGCGAAAUGGGAUAAGUAAGGUGAAUUGCAGAAUUCAGUGAAUCAAAGAAUCUUUGAACGCACAUUGCGCCCCCGGGUAUUCCGGGGGGCAGACCUGUUCGAGCGUCAUUUCACCACUCAAGCCUCGUUAUGUAUUGGGCAACUCGGUCAGCUGCGUGCCUCAAAUCGUCUGGGCGGGUUAUCUGUCCCUUAAGCGUUGUGGAAACUAUUCGAAAAAGGGAAUUAAGAGAUGCGCCGUAAAACAACCCCAUUUCAAGGUGACCUCAGAUCAGACGAUGCAU